UCUUCAUUUCCCACACUCAAUCACCAGUCAGAGAGGCGAGAGAGUGUGUGAAAUGAAGAGA
rfam:Pristionchus pacificus strain PS312 contig10757, whole genome shotgun sequence.